rnacentral:rRNA from 1 species
CCUACGGGAGGCAGCAGUGGGGAAUUUUGGACAAUGGGCGCAAGCCUGAUCCAGCAAUGCCGCGUGAGUGAAGAAGGCCUUCGGGUUGUAAAGCUCUUUUGUCAGGGAAGAAACGGUGGAGGUUAAUACCUUCUGCUAAUGACGGUACCUGAAGAAUAAGCACCGGCUAACUACGUGCCAGCAGCCGCGGUAAUACGUAGGGUGCAAGCGUUAAUCGGAAUUACUGGGCGUAAAGCGUGCGCAGGCGGUUGUGCAAGACAGAUGUGAAAUCCCCGGGCUCAACCUGGGAAUUGCAUUUGUGACUGUACGGCUAGAGUGUGUCAGAGGGGGGUAGAAUUCCACGUGUAGCAGUGAAAUGCGUAGAGAUGUGGAGGAAUACCGAUGGCGAAGGCAGCCCCCUGGGAUAACACUGACGCUCAUGCACGAAAGCGUGGGGAGCAAACAGGAUUAGAUACCCUGGUAGUCCACGCCCUAAACGAUGUCUACUAGUUGUCGGGUCUUUAUUGACUUGGUAACGCAGCUAACGCGUGAAGUAGACCGCCUGGGGAUACGGUCGCAAGNUUAAAACCNGAAAGAUGACGNNGAGAGNGCGAGACGACACGAGGGAGNGG